ACUCUGACCCAGCGACGCCGCGUGCGGGAUGAAGGCCUUCGGGUUGUAAACCGCUUUCAGCAGGGAAGAAGCGAAAGUGACGGUACCUGCAGAAGAAGCACCGGCUAACUAUGUGCCAGCAGCCGCGGUAAUACAUAGGGUGCAAGCGUUGUCCGGAAUUAUUGGGCGUAAAGAGCUCGUAGGUGGUUCGUUACGUCGGAUGUGAAAAUCUGGGGCUCAACCCCAGACCUGCAUUCGAUACGGGCGAGCUAGAGUUUGGUAGGGGAGACUGGAAUUCCUGGUGUAGCGGUGGAAUGCGCAGAUAUCAGGAGGAACACCAAUGGCGAAGGCAGGUCUCUGGGCCAAUACUGACACUGAGGAGCGAAAGCGUGGGGAGCGAACAGGAUUAGAUACCCUGGUAGUCCACGCCGUAAACGGUGGGCACUAGUUGUGGGAACCUUCCACGGUUUCUGCGACGCAGCUAACGCAUUAAGUGCCCCGCCUGGGGAGUACGAUCGCAAGAUUAAAACUCAAAGGAAUUGACGGGGCCCCGCACAAGCAGCGGAGCAUGCGGCUUAAUUCGACGCAACGCGAAGAACCUUACCAAGGCUUGACAUAUACAGGAAUAUGGCAGAGAUGUCAUAGCCGCAAGGUCUGUAUACAGGUGGUGCAUGGUUGUCGUCAGCUCGUGUCGUGAGAUGUUGGGUUAAGUCCCGCAACGAGCGCAACCCUCGUUCUGUGUUGCCAGCAUUUAGUUGGGGACUCACAGGAGACUGCCGGGGUUAACUCGGAGGAAGGUGGGGAUGACGUCAAAUCAUCAUGCCCCUUAUGUCUUGGGCUGCACGCAUGCUACAAUGGCUGGUACAAACGGCUGCGAUACCGCAAGGUGGAGCGAAUCCGAUAAAGCCAGUCUCAGUUCGGAUUGGGGUCUGCAACUCGACCCCAUGAAGUCGGAGUUGCUAGUAAUCGUAGAUCAGCAACGCUACGGUGAAUACGUUCCCGGGGCUUGUACACACCGCCCGUCACAUCACGAAAGUCGGUAACACCCAAAGUCAGUGGCCCAACCGCAAGGAGGGAGCUGCCAAAGGUGGGAUCGGUGAUUGGGAUGAAGUCGUAACAAGGUAGCCGUACCGGAAGGUGCGGCUG
rnacentral:rRNA from 1 species